AAGAGUUAGAAGAGGUUUGGCAGUUAAAGCUCACUAUGAAUACGUUGCAUAAUGAGCGAAAAACAUUCGGCUCGCCCGAUGCGGGAAAUCCGCUCGUCGGGUGGGAACGGGAAACAACCUUAAGUUAUCCCAAUCCGUCAAGUGAGUGAAGUUAGUAGUACCUGAAGUAUCCAUUACGGGUCCAAAGGUAAGACUAGCAACAAGCACUAAGUCGUAACAAGGUAUCCGUACUGGAAGGUGCGGAUGGAUCACCUCCUUU
rnacentral:ncRNA from 1 species